UUUUUUUUUUCUUUUCGUUGAAGUACAGUUGAUUUACAAUAUUGUGUUAGUUUCAGGGGUACAGGAAAGUGAUUCAGAUAUAGAUAUGUAUACUUUUUCAGAUUCUUUUCUAAGUUAUUAUAAGAUAUUGAUUGAGUAUAGUUCCCUGGGCUAUACAGUCGGUUCUUAUUUUUUAUCUAUUUUAUAUACAGCAGCGUGUAUCUGUUAACCCCCUCCCCCUUUGGUAACCAUAAACUUGUUUUCUAUGUUGGUGAAUCUGUUUCUGUUUCAUAAAUAAGUUUAUUUGUAUCCUUUUUUUGUUUUGUCUUGUUUUUUGUCUUUUUAGAGCUACACCCAUGGACUAUGGAGGUACCCAGGCUAAGAGUCAAAUUGGAGCUGCAGCUGCUGGCCUACACCACAGCCACAACAUCAGAUCCAAGCCGCAUCUGUGACCCACACCAGAAGUCAAAGCCAGAUCCUUAACCCACUGUGCGAGGCCAGGAAUCAAACCUGGGUCCUCAGGUUCGUUUUUGCUGAGCCACGAAAGAAACUCCCAGCAUCAUUUUUUUUAGAUUCCACCAAUAAGUGCUAUCAUAUGAUAUUUGUCUUUCUCUGUCUGGCUUACUUCACUUAGGAUGAUACUCUCUAGUUCCAUCCAUGUUGCUGCAAAUGGUAUUAUUUCCUUCUCUUUUUAUGGCUGAGUACUAUUCCAUUGUGUGUAUAUACUGUGUUUUCUUUACCCAUGAAUUAUGUACUUUACAUGGUUACUGUAUGGUGUGUGAAUCAUUUACAUAAGGUGAAAUGCACAGACUGUAACCUUAUAAUUUGACAAAUCUUGACAAAUGCAGGAACCCAUGCUACUACCACACCAAAUAAAACAUAGAAAAUUUCUCCUUCCCCAGGAAAGUUCCAUUUCUCAGGAGAGUUUCCUAGAAAAGCACCCCUGUUAUUUGACUCAGCUUCCCCCAGAAGGUAAGCCGAUCACGAUUCCUCGCAUCGCGGUGCCUUGGGCUUCAUCCGCAUGGAAGCAAAUAGUUCAUAUUUAGGUGUUUACUUGGCUUCCUGGCUGAGCAUAAAGCCGUUGAGCUUCAUCUGUGUUACUGAGGGUCUUUCUUUGUCCCUUCCUCUAGGAGUGUAUCAGUUAUUUUAUCAGUUUACCUCUGAAGGGACCCUGGGGCCAAGGCCUCUUUUUAGCUAUUUUUAGGAAUAAAUUUUUUUAGGAAUAAAAAUGCUAUGACUAUUUUUGGCUUUGCAUUAAGAUCCUUUUCGUACACAGCCGCACGCAGUCCCCUGCCCCUAAAUCCGGGUGAGCUCCCUCGCUCCCUUGUGAAUUAGAGUGCGGAGGUGUGGUGUUGUGCCAGCUCCCGGGCCAGGGCUUAACAGACUGACAGCUUCUCCUUCUAUCCCUCAGACCACUCACCUGAAAGCCCAGAGUCUAAGUACCCAGCUAAAGCGACCACAGGUAAAGCCCGAAACAUCAUGAAAACGGAACAGGCCCCGCCGCGUCUAGCCUUCCAGCUGUUCCCAUCGAGGGACUCGACAUGAGAGCGAGGCUGCCCUGGACCAUCCAGACAGGACCAGCUACCAGCUGAGUGUCACCAGUGACCCCAGUCCACACUGGUGAGGCCGAAUAAUAAUUCAGGUAGUUAGUGUAGGAACACAGACUUCUUCAAUGUCCUCUCCAAUUAAUGUCCAUGGCUUAAAAUUUGUAAGAACAAAUCAAGAUAAACAGCCCGUGCUUGUUGGAAGAUUAACUACUGAAAGCACCUCUGUGGACACUGACCUGUGAUCUACAUGUUUGGCUGUUAGAAAAGGAACGUAGGAGUUCCCAUCGUGGCUCAGUGGUUAACGAAUCCUCCGACUAGGAACCAUGAGGUUAUAGGUUCGAUCCCUGGCCUUGCUCAGUGGGUUAAGGAUCUAGAGUUGCCAUGAGCUGUGGUGUAGGUCGCAGACGAGGCUCGGAUCCCAUGUUGCUGUGGCUGUGGUGUAGUUCCGAUUUGACCCCUAGCCUGGGAACCUCCAUAUACCGAGGGAGCAGCCCUAGAAAAGGCAAAAAGACAAACAAAUAAAAUAAAGUAAAAAUAAAUAAAUAAGUAAAGAAUGGCAACUCUAAGCCUAAGAGAAAGAAGAACAAGAGGACCAUCAAACUUGGGGAGCGAAUCCUGACUCUAAGCUCCUAACAGACGAGCCCGAUGUAGGUGCUGGGCCAGGCCAGUAGGGAGAAGAACUGGAAGCAGGACCGUACACUGGCACCCCCGUCUUUAAGGGAUCAAAGCUCCUUCGAAGAUGAGAGGGCGGGGACUCAAUCCCCCCCGCCCCGGCCAGUGUCUGUGCUGGGAGCUGCCUGCCUGCCUGGAAUAAAGACGUUUGCUUGCCUGCCGCCUGUGUGCUCACCAAGUUCCUUCUUCAUCUCAGUGAACAAGACCCUGGAUUCGGUAACAUCUUUCCGGUAACACCAGAGAGCCCAGGAACGUAGCUCAAUGAAGCUCUGCCUGAGUUCUUGACUCACCACAUCAUGAGCCGUCAUAAAUUGGUGGCUGUUUUGUGCCGCUGGGUUUGGUUCUAGCUCCUGACACCGCAUUUAAAACCCAAGCAAGAUGAGCGUGGGCGCCUCCUCCUCCUGGGGCUCUGCAGCAUAGCUGAACCACGUCCCCGCCAAGUUCAUGUCCACCGGGAACCUCAGAAUGUGGAUUUAUUUGGAAUCAGAGUUUUGCAGAUGUAAUGAAGGUAGUAGGAUGGAAAUGCAAUUAUCCUGGCGGCCCCUGAUCCAACGACAAGUCUCCCUGUAAUAGGCAGCGAAUGGUACACAGACACGGGAGCUCCCGGAAGCUGGAAGAGACAGAGAGACCUCUUCCCCUGAGCCUUUGGAGACAUCCAGAUAUCGAACUUCUAGCCUCUGGUACCGAGAGGACACAUUUCUCUUAUUUUAUGCCCCCAGGUUUGUGGAAAUGUGUUACUGCAGCUCUGGGAGGUUAGGGCUUCCAUUCUGUUCCAUCAGUCUGUGUGCAGCUCUUAAAAGUGUGGCUGGUUUCUCUGUCGAUGGUGGGGUCAGCUACUCCCUCCGCUGUACUGGUGUUACCGCGGUGAAGCUCAUGCUGCUCACUGCAGGACAGGCCAAUAAAUCGAGAGAUGAGUUCUUGGAGCAGAGAAAACACUUUAUUCCUUUAUUCGUUUGGAAAGCUGGCAGACAGAGAAGUCUUUUGGGACUAGUGUCCCCAAAAACCAUCUUGCCCAAGCUUAGAUGCUAGGUUCUCUUUUAGAAUAAAGAGAGAGAGGUGAGGAGAGAAAGCAAAAAAGGCGGUAAGUUGGAGCUCCCGUUGUAGCACAGGGGAGACGGAUCUGACUAGGAGCCAUGAGGUUCGGGUUCGAUCCCUGGCCUCGAUCAGUGGGUAACAUCCUUUCAGUGAUUCACUCAUAUUCUGAGUUUCCUAGUGGCUCCGUGGGUUAAGCACACCCUAACUGGAAGCUCCUAGGUAACUUUGGAAUUUUCCGUGCUACCACUUUAAUAAAGGCUAUUAUGUCAUGAAUUUAUAGCUACCUUUGUCUCCUUCCUCUUUUGGUGAUGUUGGGAUAAACAUAAUCAGCAGCCGCACUGGUCUCUGGGAGAAGUCUUCUUUUAAGCCCCCCUGAAGUAUGAGAGGGAGUGGAUGAGGUCUGUCAGUUGAAUGUGAAUUUUUCCACUUUGAUGCACUUCAAGCCACAAUGCCCACUUCUACAUUCCUUGUUCCGGACUGUG
ensembl:lncRNA